rnacentral:lncRNA from 1 species
GUUUGGGGGAAGGCAUAAUCCAACCUCUAACACUAUCCCUUCAAAGAUUUAAUUCUGGAGCUUACUAUUGUUCACAAUGGAAAACUUUUCCAUUUAUUCAUUAAAAAAAUCUUUGAGGGGCAUCUGGGUGGCUAGGUCGGUGAAGUGUCUGCCUUAGACUAGGGUCAUGAUCUCAGGAUCCUGGGAUGGAGCCCAGCAUCAGUCUCUCUGCCUGGUGGGGAGUCUAUCUCUCCCUCUCCUUCUGGAAGUAUGCUCUCUCUCUCAAAUUCCCAAAAGGGAUGAUUAUUGGGAAAAGUCCUAUAAUGUUUAUGGUGAUUCACUCUUGAUUCACUCUUUCCAAGCUGUGAGCCAUGGCGAAGAAGUAACAGUGUGAGAAGAGUUUUCUCAGUAAUUUGGGCCAAGUUCAAAGAGAGAAACUUCUGAGACGUGGCUCACGUGCAAACUUCUGCGGCAUGGCUGGCUGUCAAGGGAUAGAGCAAAGACUGGCAACAUUCCAGGGAUGGGUAGUAUAGACUGACUACUCAGAGACACACCCAAUACAUUUAAUCUUCAAAUGUAUCUUCUUACUUCAUAAGGUGAAUAAAGAAUGUUUUCGUUUUAGUAUUUCUAAGAUUGCUAUCAUAAGAUGAGUAACUGAAAUUACUAACUCCUAUCACUAGCUAGAUAGAUAUGCCUCAACUAAAUAAGUUUAGAGAAGAGAAAUCUGCUAGAACC